CAGCGGAAGGAACAUCUCAGAUGAGGAUCUCCAGCUCACUGCAGCAAGCACUGGGUUGUGUUGGUAUAAAACCAGUUGUCAGAGGAGGAAGCAACCGAGUGAGAAAACCAGGGGCCAGAAACAUCAACAGGUAAAAGGCAAAGGCACUCCAGAAGCUGCAUAAAGAAGCCAAGGCCAUCAGAUCAAAUAAAUCUGCAUUUGCUCUGAUUUGCUGGCAAGCCAGGCUGGCUUCCUGCAUGAUUAGUUUUCUUCUGCUGCAUGGCAGUUAAGUGGUUUAGGUCUAAUUGCUCAGGAGCCUGAAGCUUUCUGUAGCCCAGAGGAACAGCUACGCAAUGGAAAUGGAUAUGCUAUUUCCAUGUGUCCCUCACUAUCCAGAAGCCCCAUCCCUGGGGAUGAUGCUGUCUCAAACAUGCAACUCACCAGGACACCUUGGGAAUGUCCCUUGGAACCUCCCCUUGAGGGUGCAGACCCCCUGGCGGUUGCUGCUGAGCAAACCCAUCUGCACACACCUCUGUGGAUGGUGGGGUUGUACCCACAUCUCCUGUAGAUGUAUGUCCUGCUUUUUGCAAAAGGCAAGAGCAGAAUCCAUAUGUGGCCAGACACGUAAAGCUGGGGGCUUCAGGCAAGCUGUCAUGGAGAGGGUCCAAGCAAGGUCUUCACUGGCUGUUGGGUUUUGGCCUGGCUUGGGAGUUGCUCUUUUCCAGGCUAUUGCAUAGGAGGAAGGAGCUAACACAUGGACCUGGCUCGAUCCUGAACACUUUUCAGACCCUGAGGAAAGCUGUGGCAGGCAGAUUGCUCUUGAGGAACCAGAUAGACAGCUUCACCACCCCGCAGCCUCUGCUCCUCAGAGCUAAAAAUGGUAAUGCCAACUUGUAAAGUAGAGAUGGUUGCUUGCAUGGUUCCUAUCACGUGCUCUUCCUCUGCCUGGGGUGAGUGUUCACAUCCUCCCCAGGCAACUCUCUGCCCUAAUGUCCAAACCCAGCAGCAAGCGCUGUUGGUUGUACAACAAACCCAUUUUCUACAACAGCUGUGGAGCUGGGUGGCCCCACCACCCUCCACACAACUAAACCAUUAUGUUCCCACCUCAACACUAUGUGUUGCUUCAUUAUUCUACUCAUGAAGUCCUUGAUCCUGAAGCUGCAACAACAUUACGGCAGAAAAAAGAUGAGGAGGAGUCUUCACAGCUUUUUUCUCCUUCUGAGAGUGACUUGUGGCUACUGGUCAACUGAUGCAGCCAGAGGUGACUGAUGAGGGCCUGGGGUGGAAAGCCUCUGUGUUCCUGAAGAAUCCCUGCUGGCAAGGCCUGUGUCCCCACUGGGGUGGGCUGGCAGGCUGUCACCUCGCAUGGUGGCUUUAGCUGAUUGCUGGGAGCUUUUGCCCUCAUUAAGAGCAGUAGCUGACAGCACCAACUUAUUCUAAAAUGACUUUUGCUUGAUAUAAAUAAAACAUACUUUAAUACUG